GGAUCAGAGGGAGAGAGAGAGAGAGAGAGAGAGAGAGAGAGAGAGAGAGAGAGAGAGAGAGAGAGAGAGAGAGAGAGAGAGAGAGAGAUGGGUGGGAGGCUGUUCGCCACGGAGAAGGCCGGCGGCAGGGCGCUGUACAAGCUCCACGCCGUCACGGUGCUCGCGGGGAUAUGCCUGGUGCUCUGGUACAGGGCGACGCACGUCCCGGCGGCCGGCGCGGGGAGGGCGGCGUGGGUGGGGAUGCUGGCGGCGGAGCUGUGGUUCGGCUUCUACUGGGUCAUCACGCAGUCCGUGCGCUGGUGCCCCAUCCGCCGCCGCACCUUCAAGGACAGGCUCGCCGCCAGGUACGGAGACCGGCUACCCUCCGUAGACAUCUUCGUCUGCACCGCAGAUCCGCACUCGGAGCCGCCGAGCCUCGUCAUGGCCACGGUCCUCUCGCUCAUGGCGUACAAUUACCCACCUGAGAAACUGAACGUGUACCUCUCCGACGACGGGGGCUCGAUCCUCACUUUCUAUGCCUUGUGGGAGACCUCCGCCUUCGCGAAGCACUGGCUUCCAUUCUGCAGGAGAUACAACAUUGAGCCAAGGUCACCUGCGGCGUACUUUGCAGGGUCAGAUAAGCCUGAUGAUCCGCGAACCUUAGAGGAAUGGUCAUUCGUCAAGGACCUGUACGAAGGAAUGACGGAGCGGAUCGAUUCUGCUGUUAGGUCAGCCAAAGUUCCUGAAGAAAUGAAAGUAAAUCAUAAAGGAUUUUCUGAAUGGAAUACAGGGGGCACCUCGAAAGAUCACCAGCCAGUUGUUCAGAUUCUGAUAGAUGGGAAAGACAAAGGUGCACUUGACAGUGAAGGAAAUGUGCUACCAACACUGGUAUACAUGGCACGUGAGAAGAGGCCUCAGUACCACCAUAACUUCAAAGCUGGGGCAAUGAAUGCUCUGAUAAGGGUAUCAUCGGUGAUAAGCAAAAGUCCUAUCAUCAUGAAUGUGGACUGUGAUAUGUAUUCAAACAACUCUGAUUCAAUCACAGAAGCACUGUGCUUUUUCCUGGAUGAAGAAAUGGGUCACAAGAUUGCAUUUGUGCAGUACCCUCAGAACUAUAACAAUAUGACCAAGAAUAACAUAUAUGGCAACUCCUUGAAUGCCAUCAAUCAGGUGGAGUUGGCUGGUCUGGACACUUGGGGUGGGCCAUUGUAUAUUGGUACAGGAUGCUUCCACAGAAGGGAGACCCUAUGCGGCAGGAGCUUCAACAAAGACUACAAGGAAGACUGGGACCAAGGAAUUAAGACACAGCAACCGAUAGACCAGACUGAAGAGAAAGCGAAGUCAUUAGCAACCUGCACCUAUGAAAAUAACACACAGUGGGGAAGUGAGAUUGGAUUGAAAUAUGGUUGCCCAGUGGAAGAUGUUAUCACCGGACUGGCAAUACAUUGUAGAGGAUGGAAGUCAGUCUACAACAACCCCCCAAGAGCAGCAUUUGUUGGUGUAGCCCCAACAACAAUUUCUCAGACAAUACUUCAGCAGAAGCGAUGGAGCGAGGGUAAUCUUUCAAUUUUUCUUUCAAAGUACUGCCCGUUCGUCUUUGGACAUGGAAAAAUAAGGUUACCGCAUCAAAUGGGCUACUGCAUAUAUGGUUUAUGGGCACCCAACUCGCUACCUACGCUAUAUUACGUUCUGAUCCCUUCACUAGGCCUUCUCAAGGGCACACCCUUGUUCCCUGAGAUUAUGAGUCCAUGGAUCACGCCUUUCAUAUAUGUCUCCGUUGUGAAGAAUAUUUACAGCCUAUAUGAGGCAUUAACAUCUGGAGAUACAUUGAGAGGAUGGUGGAAUGGACAGAGGAUGUGGCUAGUUAAAAGAAUAACCUCGUACCUUUAUGCUGUCAUUGACAACAUCAGGAAGUUGUUAGGAUUGUCAAAGAUGGGGUUUGUAGUUUCACCAAAGGUAGGUAAUGAAGAUGAGUCGAAAAGGUACGAGCAAGAAAUCAUGGAAUUUGGAACGUCUUCACCAGAAUAUGUGAUCAUUGCAACCAUUGCAUUACUCAACCUCGUGUGCCUAGUGGGAGGGCUAGGUCAAAUCUUGACAAGUGGCCAGAAUAUGUUGUGGAAUGGACUUCUCCUCCAGGUUGUUCUAUGCGGGUUGCUUGUGACCAUUAAUAUCCCAAUCUAUGAAGCAAUGUUCCUCCGAAAGGACAAAGGGAGAAUACCAUUCUCAGUCACACUAGCUUCUGUUGGCUUUGUCAUGAUGGCCCUCUUUGUACCAAUAUUCUGAGGUCCCAAAAAAGGCACUGAUGAAUGCAAAAAAUACUUACUAGUUCUAAUCAUAAAUUAUCUACCUUGAUAUCUCUUGUAUGAUGUUACAAAAAAUACGCAAUGCAAAAUGGAUACUUGUAUUCUAGCACUGCUUUCAGCUGCAUUGCGUAAAAGGGUAAGCUCUCAUCCAAUUGAGCUGUCAGCUGUGCAGAGGAUGCAUAUGCAUGGAUCAACGCUGGAAUCCCCACAAUGUGGUAUCAUCUGUCAUUCGCUAUAAAUGUGCCUAUGGCAUAUAUGGCACGCCUGUCUAUCUAACUAUCGAAGUAACUCAGAGAUCAAUUUGAGAAAUGGAGA